UUCCCUUCACUUCCAUUUUCAGACUGGAUUGAAGACAGUGAUGGAACAACUCUUGGGAAUAGGCUAUGGGCUGGCUACUCAGUCUCGGUCCUAGACGAGUAUGGGAUGCUUUUGCCAAUGGAAAUUUCCAUACUGUUCCCCUUUUGUGGGGCUCGGUUUUUUGACUUUCCGAUAAUCCGUUUAGGUGACAGAUUGCUGAGCUUUUCACUCAUAGGAAAGAGGAGGAGGAGGAAUGGGGUGGUGGUAGUGGUACUCUCCCCUUCCUUUGGUCUGGGGGCUGUCUGUGGACAUCAUUCCAAAUUCCUGGAUUCCGAUUCCUUCAACAGAUUCCGGUGUGCGUUCCUCCUCCCUCGUUCCCACCCCUCCCUCGUUCCUCCCCCUCUUCUCUCUUUCUGGGACGAGCAGGAAUGGAGUGGUGGUAGUGGAGGAGGAGGAGGCGGAGAAGGUGGGGAGCAGCAGACAGACAGAUCCACACAGCCAUGAUGGUGUCUCAUUAGGUAAGCAGAGGCCAGGCCAGAAGUUCUCCACAAUCUAAUAUGCUGCUUUACAUUAUUCUAAUGGAAUAUCUGUUGUCAAUUUCUAGCUACCUACCUUACACUUCUGAAGAGGUCCUUUCUGGCUGAAUUGAUUAUUAUUGUAUUCCUUUUUUGGAGAGGGAGGAAUUCUCAAUUUUGUUCUGGCUGUAUGGACUGUUUCUGAAUAGACUUUCAGAUGAUGGUUUAGGUAGUACUUUAAAAUAUGGGUGAAAAUAAUGCAAUCACUAAUACGACACUAAAAAUAUUAUUAUUGAUGAUUCAGGGAUUUAUUUGUACUGUAAGUAAACAUUUUGUUAACAUUAUGAUUGACGUGUUUCAUUUACAGUUGUUUGCAUUGUGAAUAAAGACAAUUUCAUUGAAUAAUCAGUAUUUGCCAAGUGUUUUGUUGUGUGCUUGAGUCAUUUAUGUGUGUUUGUUAUGGUGUUAUGAGACACUACCUUUGUUUAUUCAGGUGUUAUAAGACACUAACUUUGUUUAUUCAGGUGUUAUAGAACACUAACUUUGUUUAUUCAGGUGUUAUAGAACACUAACUUUGUUUAUUCAGGUGUUAUGAGACACUAACUUUGUUUAUUCAGGUGUUAUGAGACACUACCUUU
rnacentral:lncRNA from 13 species